rfam:Gossypium hirsutum cultivar TM-1 chromosome 23, whole genome shotgun sequence
AAUAACCAAAUAUAACACUUGGACUAAGAGUCAAGUUGGUAAUUUUUCUUACAUCUCCCCCUCCCGGAGCCCAGGUAUCAUAUACGCCCCCAAAAUAAAGAUCUUUGAAUACUAGAAGAAAUGCACCUAUACCUAGCAAAACUAAGUGAAUACCAAAAAUUGUGGUCAUUUUAUUACUAUCUUUCCA